GUUGGGACAACAUCUGCUGGUGGGAGUACUGCUGCUCCCAGGAACAUUCUGGAGGUCAGGAUAGGAACUCUGCAGAGGGAGAAGGUUCCUAGGCACCUAGCGGGGUGGGCCCAAGCCCCGAGGAAAUGGCUACAGGCCUAGGGAGAGCAAGGCCAGCCUAGGAGAGGGGCUUAAAGAGUGUGAGCCUACUGAGGGGCUAAGCAAGCCCCUGAUUAGAGCUGGUGAUGGGGCCUGGGACUCAGAUGAGCCUAGAUGAGUAAAAGGGCUGCUGGAUGAGAUCUCUGGGGGUUCUAGGCAAGCCUAGGGAAGUUAGUGGUUUUAUGGUGGAACCAAGAGGAACCCCUACUGAGUAGAAAGGGUUGGCUGCUGAUGGAUUGGCCCAGGGCUUUUGAUUGGCCCAAGCUCUCUCUCUCGAGAUGACCAGUGAGAGAGCGGAGGGGUCAGACACCAGGCAGGCUGGUAUGAGGCAGUCCCUGGGAAAUGGUACACCAGUGCCUCCCUAGUGAAAAGCAUGUAUGGGGUACUGGAAAGCCUCAGCCCCCGCUGCCUUGCAGGUGACCCUGUGGAGGGGAAAGGCUAGGGAAACACACCGAGAGAAAGGCACCAGGCUUAGAAGGCAUAGCAGGGGUCAGGAGGGCCCAAGGCCUGAGAGAGUGAGGCUUGGGCAACAACAUAGGGGCCAGGAAGGCUGGAGGCACAAGGCUUGAGGAAGAGUGAGGCCUAGUGAGCGGCCUGGAUGAGAGCUUGAGGCCGAGUAGGAGGCCUGAAUAAGAGUAGGGCAUAGGAGGAGGCCUGACUGAGAGUGAGGCCUAGGUACAUUGACAGAUACCUGAGGCCUGAGUGGACUGUAGGGCAAAUUGGGGGUCCAGGCAUGUCAACAGACACCUGAGGCCCAUGGGACAUAAGGCCCCAUAACCCUGGUUAGGGGGCAAAGUAGUGACCCUAGCAAGAGGGUAGAGUGUGAGGGGCUAGGAGCCUAAUGAGAGGCAAGGAGCCAGUGUGCAUGGGAAUAGAGGCCCCAGUCAUGUCUAAAGACGCCUGAGGCCAAGUUGGGCCAGAGGCCAAGUGUAGCCCAGCAACAGGGCUGGGGGAGUGGGAAGUGAUCCUUGGAUGUCAUCUGUGAGGUAUGGGACAUUGUGUAGGGGUGGUACAGAGUUGUGUAUUAUGCCCUUGGCAUUAGGGCAUCAAAAUGGACAGCUUCCCACCUAGAAACAACUUUUCGUCAAUUACAUUAAAGACGUGGCAGGGUCUACCAGAUCAUUGGCCAAUUGGCAUCAUCUCCUAUGGUGAGCUGCCAUACUGUCGGAAGUCCCCCUCCUCCUUCCUGAUGGUGUCUGACAUCACCAAGCACAAGAGUGAUGGGAUGAGCCUGCCCCAGGCCCUCUGCCACCUAGUGCUGCAGUGAUAGGACGCAUCUACACGAGACAUGUUGACAUGCAUUAGCCUAAUUUACAGACAGACAGAGAGAAAAUAUUAUUUGGGGGAGCUGACCGUGUGAGAGUAUCUGCACACCGCCCCCACCCCCC